rnacentral:tRNA from 1 species
CGAGUCAGAGCUUGAAAUAAGUUUUUUAUUUACACUAAAAGGAUAAUUGGGGAGACAAUUUGAUUCGA